AAAAUACAACCACCAAGUCCUUAGACAUGCUCGUGUAGUGUGGGUUAAAUUGUAUCAAACAGGUAUAUUCAUUUACCGGGACGUUCAUAUACGGAUAUUAUUUAUUUAAGUGAACAUCAAAGUGUUAUGACAGUAAAUUAGUAGAUCAUAGUCCCUUCUUCUUCCCAUGCCUUCUGGAGACAUACCAAUGUGUAAUCAUUUCAUCAUUUUCAGAACACCCUGCCAUAAGUUAGGCUGAGUUUCCAACCCAAUGAGAAGAAUGCCUAUUUUUAUGACCAGUGAAACAAAAAUGCUUAGAAGUACAUACAUCAAAAGCUCAAUACAACAAGAAAACAAGUUACAGCACAGCUCAACCAUCCUGACACAAACUAUGUCCAGACAGAAC